UACGAAGGGUGCAAACGUUGCUCGGAAUCAUUGGGCGUAAAGCGCACGUAGGCGGCCUCAAAAGUCGGAUGUGAAAUCCCGUGGCUCAACCAUGGACGUGCAUUCGAAACUGCGAGGCUUGAGUAUGGAAGAGGGUCGCGGAAUUCCCGAUGUAGAGGUGAAAUUCGUAGAUAUCGGGAGGAAUACCAGUGGCGAAGGCGGCGACCUGGGCCAAUACUGACGCUGAGGUGCGAAAGCGUGGGGAGCAAACAGG
rnacentral:rRNA from 1 species